rnacentral:rRNA from 1 species
UGGGGAAUAUUGGGCAAUGGGCGAAAGCCUGACCCAGCAACGCCGCGUGAAGGAAGAAGGUUUUCGGAUUGUAAACUUCUGUUGUGAGGGACGAAGGACGUGACGGUACCUCAUGAGGAAGCCCCGGCUAACUACGUGCCAGCAGCCGCGGUAAUACGUAGGGGGCAAGCGUUGUCCGGAAUUACUGGGCGUAAAGGGAGCGUAGGCGGCUUAUUAAGUCAGAUGUGAAAUCCCCGGGCUUAACCUGGGAGGUGCAUCUGAAACUGGUGAGCUUGAGUGCGGGAGAGGCGAGUGGAAUUCCUAGUGUAGCGGUGGAAUGCGUAGAUAUUAGGAGGAACACCGGUGGCGAAGGCGGCUUGCUGGACCGUAACUGACGCUGAGGCUCGAAAGCGUGGGGAGCAAACA